rnacentral:rRNA from 1 species
GAUGAACGCUGGCGGCGUGCCUAAUACAUGCAAGUCGAGCGAACAGACGAGGAGCUUGCUCCUCUGACGUUAGCGGCGGACGGGUGAGUAACACGUGGAUAACCUACCUAUAAGACUGGGAUAACUUCGGGAAACCGGAGCUAAUACCGGAUAAUAUAUUGAACCGCAUGGUUCAAUAGUGAAAGACGGUUUUGCUGUCACUUAUAGAUGGAUCCGCGCCGCAUUAGCUAGUUGGUAAGGUAACGGCUUACCAAGGCAACGAUGCGUAGCCGACCUGAGAGGGGGAACCGGCCAACAGGAAAUGAGACACGGGCCAAAAUCCUAAGGGGGGGAAGAAGAGGGAAACUUGCGCAAAGGGCGAAAGGCUGAAGGGGGAAAGCCGGGGGAGGGAUGAAGGUCUUCGGAUCGGAAAACUCUGUUAUUAGGGAAAAAAAAAAGUGUAAAUAACUGUGCAAAGCUUGGAGGUACCUAAACAGAAAGCCAAGGGUAAAUAAGUG